AAAAUAUUGUUUACCACUGAGUAUGCUGUUCUGAAAAGAUGGGUUUUGAGUUUGGAAAUGAAGGUGAGGAGAGAGUCGGUCUUGCGGAGGUCAGGAGGAAGU